CUUUGUUAUGGGAUACAGAAGUAGCAUUUUUAUCAACCUCUGACUGCUCUUAGCACAAUCCUUGAAGAAUUGGAAAAAUCUUGCUUGAGAUGCAUUUAAAUUAGCAGAAAAAUAGUCACUGAGGAAACAGAAGAUCUGUGAUAGCAGAAUUGAGUAAGAAAUCAGAAUUUAGCAGAAAGAGUGCAUGCUUUCUCAAGGUUAAAAGAUGUGAGUUUGAAUCCUAGAUCCAUCCUAUUAAAGCAGAAUAACCUUGGGCUUUUGGAACCUCAAUUUCCUCAUCAGUAAAAUGGAAACAGUAGUAUUACCUUGGCACGGUUGUUGGAAGUAAGAGAGAUAGUGUUUGCAAAGUGCCUCUUACAGUGCUAGACACACUAUAUUCUCAGUAAAUGUUUAUUCUUAUAAGAUAGUACCAUGAUCAGUCUUAAACAACAAAGAGUUUAGCAAGACUCCAAGUAAGUACUCGAGUAUCACUACAGAGCAACUGGAACCCAUGUUUAUAGGAAACAGAGGAACAUUUUUUAGGCUGGCUAAAAGUCAUUGCUGUAUGGAAAGAACAGCUUUAUUUGCAUCAGCAGAGUUUUUUUGGACAGCAGGCAAGACUAAUAAAUGUUUGGCCUUUUGGCAUAACUGAACUCAAUUACAGUGGUUCUGCUUAAGUCAAGUUUGUCAAAUGGGCUUCUCUGUCCUCCUCAGAUCAAAACCUUCUAAACCUAAUACUUUUCUAGACUGAAAUAAGAAAACUAUUGGAUCCUCAAAAAUGAUACGAUGAAAGUGAACCAAGGAAAUAUUUCCUAAAUACAUUCCAAAUGUUAUUCAGGGGGGAAAAAAGCGCAGAAUUAUAUGAUUUAGGAGCUGUGGGGUUAAACGUAGUUAAACCAAUUUCUAGGCUUCUUUCAAAUGCAAUGCAUAUAUAACGUGAUAAAAAUUCAAACAGUAGAAAAGAGCAUAAAAUGAAAAGUAAAAUUUCUUCUCACUUCACCUUCUGGUCCCCCAGUUUUUCUUGAAAUCAAGAAUUGUUACCAGUUUCCUAUUUUUCUAGAACCACUGUGCACAUUUAUAAGCAUAUUUCAAAUCAAGAUACAAGUAAACGUAGGUAAAUACCUUACCUAAGAGGUAACACACUAAGCACAUGUCUGCAUCUUCCUUUGUUCACUUAAUAUAUCUUAGGGAAAAUAUCAGUUCAUUUAUAUCAGAAGUUUUCAACUGGGGGUGAUGUUAUAGAUAUUUUUGAUUAUCUCAUCUUGGGCAGGGGAUGAGGGUUCUACUGGCACUGGGGGGUAGAGUUCAAGGAUAUUGCUAAACAUCCUGCAGUACACAGAACAAUCGCCUAUGACACAGAAUUACCUAGCCCAGAAUAGCAGUGGUACCACUGAAACCUUGAUUUAAAUCAAUUUUUUUUUUAAUGGGCACAUACUAUUCCACUAUAUGGAUGAAUCAUAAUUUAUAUAACCAGUGCAAUAUGGUGGUCAUUUAAGUUAUUUAAAGUCUUUUAUUAUGUAAAAAAGAAACUGAAAUGAAUGUGCAGAAGCAUAUCUCUACGAUAACAUCCUGUUAGCAGAAUUGGGGGAGGGUCAAAUUGUGUGUGUAUUUUUAUCAUAAAUAUUGUCUGUUGUCCUCUAAAGAUAAUGUAGCAGUUUACAGUGCCUUCAACCAAGCAUGCAAACUCCUAUUUCUCAUAUCCUACCCAAAACAGUGUAGUAACAUAAUUUCUUUAUAUUUGUCAAUCUGAUUUAAAUAGAAUUGUUUAAAUUUGUGUUUACUUAUAAGGUGAACUUUUUUCCAUUUAAAAUCCAUUAAUUAUUUUUGUAAACUAUCUGAUCAGCUUAGUUUAAUGCAGGACUUUUCAGAGACUUUAAUGUGAUCAUGUGUAUUAUGAUUCUCUCAACAUUUCCUAGUUUUUUUUUUGUUUUUUUUUUUAUCCUUAAAACCUCAUUUUUACAAGAGAUCAUUUUGAGUAAAAAUGGUUCCACAAAACAUUUUUUGAAAAUCACUGAACACAAGCUAUCAGGGUAAAAUUGAUUUAUGAAAGGAUUUUAUAAAAAAUGUCCAAAGGCUGUAUAAUAGUGACAAUUACUUGGUGGCAUUUCUAGCAGAUAGGGAAACCCCUAAGCCCAGGUCAGAAGCAAGAUCAAUCAAACUUGGAUUGUAAAGACACUCGUCAGGACUAAUCAGGGCUCUUUUCCUUACAGACCAAAACCCAGUUGACCAAAACCUAAUCCACUCAAACUAGGUUAGGCAAAAAAAAACAAAAUGAAAAACUAUAUUUGCUCAUAUAAAUAAACUUUGAGAAGGUCAUUGAUUCAGCUCUGCCUCAAGUAUAAACCAUGCCAAAACCUCAAACUCUAGGAGGUUUUUCUCUCUCAAUCUCACUUUUCCCUGCUACUCUUCUCUGUUCUAUUCUUUUAGCUGAGCCACAAGUUGUUUCUACCCCUGGUAUUUCACCACUUUACCAUCAGAGAGAUUGAAACACUUGAUCUCAGGGCCCAGGUUCAGAAUUACCAGGGAAGAGCUGGAUUAUCAUCCAUCUCUGGGCCACACAGUGAUGUGAGGGCCAGUAACCACGAGGAGACUGAGCACCAUGAUGGAGACUGUGCCACAUGAUGGUGGUAGGGGAAGGAGCUUUGCCCAGAAAGAAAAGAAAGUGAAGCUCUUCUACCGAUACAUGACAUGACAUCCUCCAUGUUAACAAGAGACCAAGAAACAUCCCUCAAGAAAUGAUCAUCAUUAAUUGUCACCUGGCAAAUAAAUUUAAAAGAAUUUAACAUUCAGUGUCCUUGUGCAGCUUGUACAGAUCUGCUAAUGUUAAAAAUAGCAUUGGAUAUUGAAAAAAAAAAAGGCUCUUAAUUGACUGGAUUUGGACAGGUGAAGAAACAAAUAUUAAAAGGAUGCCAGCUGUGGUCCUUAUGUAGAAUCAUAACCCUUGCCAGAUACAGAAAGUCAAUACUUUUCUUCACAUGCAAAUGGCAAAAAUGGCACCCAAUGCGGAAAACUGGGCUACUCGAUAUGAUAAUUUGAACAUUUACAAAUUGUCUUAGCUUUCUAUUUUUUUCUCCUAUCUUUUUUUAAAAAACUGAAGUAUGGUUCCUAUAUUGUUUUAGUUUAAGGUACCCAGCAAAGUGAUUCAGUUAUAUAUUCAGAUUAUUUUUCAUUAUAAGCUUUUUGUUUGUUUUUUGUUUUGUCUCUUUGCCAUUUCUUGGGCCGCUCCUGCAGAAUAUGGAGGUUCCCAGGCUAGAUGUCUAAUCAGAGCUGUAGCCACCAGCCUGCACCAGAGCCACAGCAACUCAGGAUCCGAGCCAUGUCUGCAACCUACACCACAGCUCACGGCAAUGACGGAUCCUUAACCCACUGAGCAAGGCCAGGGAUCGAACCCGCAACCUCAUGGUUCCUAGUCAGAUUCUUUAACCACUGAGCCACAACGGGAACUCCUCAUUAUAAGUUUUUACAAAAUAUUGAAUAUAGUUCCCUGGGCUGUGCAGUAAACCCUGUUGCUUAUAUAUUUUAUGUAUAGUAACUCAUAUCUGCUAAUCCCGUACUCCUAAUUUAUCCCUCCUAUCUUCCCUUUCCCCUUUGGUAACCAUGAAUUUGUUUUCUGCAUCUGUGAGUCUGUUUAUAUUUUGUAUAGAUUCAUUUGUGUUGCUUUUUAGAUUCCAAAUGUAAGUGGUAUCAUAUAGUAUUUGUCUUUCUGACUUAUUUCACUAAGGAUAAUAUUCCCUAAGUCCAUACACAUUGCUGUAAAUGGCAAUAUUUCAUUCUUUUUUUUAUAGCUGAGUAAUGCUCAAUUGUAGAUAUAUACCAUAACUUCUUAUUCAUUCCUCUGUCUAUGGAAAUUUAGGUUGCUUCCAUAUCUUGGCUAUUGUAAAUAGUGCUGAAAUGAACACUGGAGUACAUAUAUCUUUGUGCAUUAGAGUUAUUUUUUCUGGAUAAUACCCAGGAAUGGAAUUGCUGGAUCAUAUAGUAGCUCUAUUUUUAGUUAUAGAAGGAUACUGUUUUCCAUAGUGGCUGCACCAACAGUAUGUAAGAACUCCUUUUUCUCUCCACACCCUCUUCAGCAUUUAUUAUUUGUAGACAUUUUGAUGAUAGCCAUUCUGACCAGUGUGAGGUGAUAUUUUGUUGUGGUUUUGAGUUGCAUUUCUGUAAUAAUUGGUGAUGUUGAGUAUCUUUUUGAGUGAACUUUAGCCAUCUGUAUGUCUUCUUUGGAAAAUUGUCCAUUUAGGUCUUCUGUCUAUUUUUUAUUGGAUUGUUUGGGGUUUUUUUGAUAUUUAGUUGUAUGAGCUGUUUGAUAUUUUAGAUAUUAACCUUUUGUCAGUCACAUUUGUCUGCAAAUAUUUUCUCCCAUCCCAUAGGUUGUCUUUUCAUUUUGUUGAUGACUUCCUUUGCACCAUUAAAAAUUUUGAUUACGGUUUCAUUUUUCCUCUCAUUUCUUUAGUCUUCAGAGACUGAUCUAAGAAAAAUAUCGCUACAAUUUAUGUCCCCAAAUGUCCUAUGUUCUCUUUGAGGGUUUUUACAGUGUCACAUCUUAUAUUUAGGUCUUUAAACCAUUUAGACCUUCAUUUUGAGUUUUUGUAUAUGAUGUAAGGAAGUGUUCUAAUUUCAUUCCCAGCACCACUUGCUGAAGAGACUGUUUUUUCUCCAUUGUAUAUUCUUACCUUCUUUGUCAUAGAUUAAUUGAUUGCAAAUAUAUGGGUUUAUUUCUGGGGUUUCUAUUUCUGUUUCAUUGAUCUAUAUGUCUGUUUUUGUGCCAGUACAGGUUGUUUUGAUUACUGUAGCUCUGUGGUAUUGUCUAAAGUCUGGAAGGGUUAUGCCUCCAGGUCUGAUCUUUUUUUUCAGGAUUUCUUUGGCAAUUCUGGGUCUUUUGUGGUUCCAUAUAAAUUUUAGGAUUAUUUGUUCUAAUUCUCUGCAAAAUGUCACGGGCAUUUUGAUAAGAUAUUUGCAGAGUUCCCAUUGUGGCUCAGUGGUUAAUGAAGCAACCAGUAUCCAUGAGGAUGCAGGUUUGAUCCCUGGCCUUGCUCAGUGGGUUAAGGAUCCAGCAUUGCCAUGAGCUGUGGUAUAGAUCACAGACAUGGCUCAGAUCCUGCAUUGCUGUGGCUGUGGCAUAGGCCAGCAGCUACAGCUCUGAUUGGACCCUUAGCCUGGGAAUCUCCAUAUGCCGUGGGUGCGACC
rnacentral:lncRNA from 1 species